GACACUGCCCCCGGCCUCAGCCCCGGUGGCGGCGCGCUGCCCCACCGGCCCCCGGCGCGAGCGGGCGCGGCGCGGCCCCCACCGCUCGGUGCAGGUGCUGGAUCCGUAGCGGCGGCGACCAUGGACAAGAGGAUGCUCGACAGCCAUGGACGAUAUAGCACUUUGUCCGCCAGUUUGUAUAGAGUUCGCUACACUUGUGAUUUCAUUAACCAAAGAUCUUCUCGCGCCCGAGCAGGACACCAUAGAUGCAAGCGGUUGGUGGUACGGGAACGUCCGCAGGCCGAACCCAGUCAUGUCACAGGCGGCGUCCAUAUCCGGAAUUUUUCACCAGUACGCAACAGAUGGCCAUGCCAUCGUUCGCCGUAACCUCACCUCCAUCGCAUGGCACUACCUUAUGGGCGCCUCAUGCUCGUCGUCCUCAAAGACUGCACAAGAGACACGUGUGCAGCCAAGUCCGGGCAGCGGCACAAGCACAAUUGCAGUACCAGAAGCUGGGGGACUCAGACUUCCUCAUCAGUGAGGUCACUCUUGGAACGAUGACUUUUGGCGAGCAAAACAUGGAGAAGGAAGCACAUGACAUUAUCGCUUAUUCUUUCGAUCAAGUACCCAGUUCCAAUGAACAAGGAAACUCAAGGGAGAACUGAUCUUUAUAUUGACAGGUGGAUGCAAUCAAAACCACGAGACAAGAUAAUUUUGGCCACCAAAGUUGCCGGUUAUUCAGAGCGGUCUACAUUUCUUCGAGACAAUGCAAAAGUGGUUCGUGUUGAUGCUGCCAAUAUCAAAGUGGAGCUGCUAUUUAUGGAGAGGAGCGUUGAUAGUCAUUGUCCUGGGAUGGUAGUCCGCAUGGCUGAACGUUAGUCAUAAUUUGUGUUGUAGUAUAAUUUGAUUUGUACAAGUUUAGUUCUAUAUUGAUUGUUGACAAAGAAUUUGCGAGAAAUUGAGGUCAAUGAUAAUAUGUGUUUUGUUUUUAUGUAAUCCUUCUGCUCUAAUAUUUUAUAUUAAAUGUUAACUUUUGUAUAUUUGUAUCGUAGUGAUGUUUGUCAUUCUAUAUCUAUA